CAAGGCCACGCCCGUAUCCGAGUGGUGCAGCUCGGUGCUGUUGUCCGUGCAGUUUGUUGUUGUAUUCGACAACAAUGGCAACAGAAGCUUGGCCCCCGCUAGACUAGGAACAUAUGGAACCUAUUGCGUCUUGCUGAUGGAAAAGAGGUAAUAAUACAAGGAGUUCUUCAGACUGGGUAGUGUUGUCACCUGAGAAGGGGAUGGGAGUUCAGACUGAACAUGAACACGAUAGGUAGUUGCUCAGUUUAAGAUAUUGGAUUCAGUUACGGCCACAUCAAUGAUUUAAAUAAAAUCUCACAAAAGAUGUGGAACCCAAGCCUGUAUAAAGGUUACGUGCAUGCAUUGCUAGGCUGCUAGCACCUUGGACUUGUGGAGCCAUUGGCAGGGCAUGUGAAGCAUUGGCCAACUUGUUCGUGGCUAAACUGUACUCUUUUGUUUUGUUUAGACUAAGCACACUCUUCUUAGAUAAUCUGUAUUAUCAGCCCCACAUCAAGUGCACACACUCUUUUGUUUUCUA